rnacentral:lncRNA from 1 species
AAUGAAAGGGUCCACAAGAAUAACAUCUGUGUUUGAGAUUUCGAUGGUGGAGUUAAAGACAUUUGGGGAUAUAACCUGUUGUUGGGUAUGCCCUGGAUUCAUGCAGUCAAAGCAGUGCCAUCUACGUUGCAUCAGAUGGUCAAAUUUGAAUGGGGGAAGCAAGAGAUUGUGGUGCACAGUGAAGACAAUCAGUGCGUUUCAGGUGAUGCAAUCGUACCUUUUGUUGAAUCUAAGGACUGUAAAGGGCCAUAGAUCUACCAGGUGUUUGAUACUGUGUCAGUUCAGAAAAUCCCAAAAGGUGAGGUUGUCAUGGCACCAAAGAUAGCAACAUCGUCCGUCAUGUUAGCUUUAGAAAUAUUGAAGAAUUGUUUUAUGCCUGGAAAGGGGUUGGGUGCUUCUCUACAAGGCAUUGUGCAAACCAGUGUCCCUCCCCAAAAAUCUGGACGCUUUUGACCGAAGGUUCAAGCCUACAGCCGCAUACAUAAGGCAAGCUAGGAAGUUAAGGCAGAAGGCUUGGGCUCUCCCAAAGCCCAUCCCAAGGUUGUUCAAAUCGUUUGUCAAGCCCGGUACUAGCAAUGGCUCCGUACCAAAGAUUUUCGGACCGUUGAUCGACGCGGAUGGGGACCUUGAUAAGGGGUUAGAAAGACUAUUCAAUGAGGCAAAUAUGGUCGAGGCAGGAGAAGGACCAAGCAGGCAGACGUGCAGUUUGUGGGAGCACGCGCAAAAAUGAAUAACUGGGAAGCCACUUCUCUUCCCACUCGGAGGGAGUAGUGGUAGUCAUCUUUGAUUUUUCUCUCAGUCUAGUUUGGAUUAGCUUCAGAGUUGUUUGUUCAAUUGUUAUUUUCGUCCGUUUGGAUUUAAAAAUUCUGUUAUUUUCGAUUCUAAUGAAAUGCAGUUCCUUUCCCAAAAUACUGAUAAUGCCCAAUUUUCUUUACUUCUCUUUCUUCUUUGUUUUUAAAGUUAUUUUUAUGCUGGUUCCAGUGAUCUGACAUGCGUAAGGACUUCUCGGCCUAGUCUUCAAAAUAGGUCUAGUUCAGAAAUAAUAAUUUAGGAAAUAGAACAUGAGGAUGAGCCAGGGUAUGACAAGGAAGGGGCAUGGAAUGAGAUUAGCAAAGAGUUGACCCAAUUCGAAGAGAAAGGUCAUGAGGUUUGACCCAGCAUGAUAUAUCUACUCAUCAAUUGUCGGAAAGCGGCAUAAAUAAUUUUGGCAAAAGAGGCAAAAGCGCGACACAAAGAUGGGAAAGAUCAUAAGAUUUGUUCCAACAUGAUAUAUCGAAUCAUAAACCAUCGGAAAGAGGCAUAAAGAAUUCUGGCAAAUUGUCGGAAGUGCAACACAAAGCGGAGGGCAAAGUAAAGACACAAAGGGCAAGGGUCAACCAAACAUCACUCACAGAUCGGGUGAUUUCAAGAAAGGGUGCAACGAUUUUGGCAUUAGAGCGAAAAUGUAACACAAAGAUGAAGAACAAAGUGAAUCCACAAGGUUCAUAGGGUUGGCCAAAACAUGACACGUUAAUUCAUCAAUCAUCGGGGAAGGACAUAAAGAAUUCCCGCCAAGGGUUAGAAAGGUAACAGAAUUAUAGAAAGCCAGUAAAGCUGUAAAGGUUUGAGGGGUCAGCUGAACAAUUCGAACGACUCAUCACAAACGUGGAAAAUGGAUCACAUGGAACAUGAUAAUGGGGAGGCCUCUGUAAACAAGAAUGUCGCGAGCCAACCACCGUUUUCCAAACUGACAAGUUUCUUUGAUUGAAACAGGGGCAGAAAAAUCGGGAAGAGCCUAAGGGGGAAAGCAAGAACAUGGCAGGUAUGAUCAAAAUCUCAGGGCCCACCUGGAAUAGGGGCUCAGUUAAAAAUCAAAAGGGACAUAUUCCUUCAUAAAUAUCCUCCCCAACAAUGAGUCAAUGGGACAAACUUUAACUAGCAAACCCCAACAGGAAUAACUGAGGGUUAAAAGAGGCAUGGAAGUUGAGAUGGAACACAUUUUCAACUCAAACAGGUGCGGGUAACAUGGGCGAGCACCAAUACCUUCCCCAGUAAGAGUCGCAGAAACCCUCCUGGAAAAUUAGCACUAGCAGAAACAACUAGAAGUUAGAGUUAGCAUUUAAGCAAGAGUCCUCAGGACACUCCUUGAAAAUGGAACUUAUUUAACGUUUAAGAGUAAUCAUGGAUGACAAAGGGCAUAAAAUAACGUGCAUGUUGAAGUAGGAUUCAGUUAAGAGUUGUCAGGACCUUCCUUAAUAAUGGGAAUUAGCCUAGUACACAAACAGUUGGGCGGCAUGGUCAGGCCCAAAUACUUCCCCAACAACAGUCAUCAGGACCCUCCUGAAAAAUGGGACUUAGAUUAGAUAUUUCCCCAACAAGAGUCAACAAGAGUCACCAGGACCCUCCUGAAAAAUGGGACUUAGAUUAGAUAUUUCCCAAUAAGAGUCAAUAAGAGUCAUCAGAACCCUCCUGAAAAAUGGGACUUAGAUUAGAUACUUCCCCAGCAAGAGUCAAAAAGACUUGUCAGGACCCGCCUGGAUAUGGGAAGUAGUUUUAAUCACCAGCCACAAGCAGACCCCCAGCAGAUAUAACUCAUAACAAGACAUUGUGGAAAAUAAUACCUGUUGAGAAACAUAACAUAGUCUUGAAGUUGUCAUCAGUUAAGAAUUGUCAAGACCCUCCUGGACAAUGGGACAUAGCUUAGAUUUAGAGAUAGUUUGUAAGGGAAUUUGAUUAACACUCACGGAUCAGCCCAGCACCAAUCUGGGGCAGGAAGAGUUUUUGUCUUUUGUUUGUUUUGUUGUGAUCAUGUACACAGGUAGCAGUCUCAGGGAACACUUUUCAAGUUGCGAGAUUUUGUAUGGUAAUCAGGCGCCCACCUGUAGAACAAAGGAAUAUUCUUCAAAAUUUCAAGCUUUUGUAAUUAGGCGUUCACCUGUAGAAUAAGAGAAUAUUUCUUAAAAUUUAAAGUUUUGGUAACCAGGCACCUACCUGUAGAACAAGGGAAUAUUUUUCAAAAUUCAAGUUUUGGUAAUCGGGAGCCCACCUGUAGAACAAAGGAAUAUUUUUCAAAAUUCAAGUUUUGGUAAUCAGGUGCCCACAUGGAGAACAUGGGAAUAUUUUUCAAAUUUUCAAGUUUUUGUAAUUAGGCGGCCACCUGUAGAACAAGGGAAUAUUUUUCAAAAUUUUAAUUUUUGACAAUCAGGCGCCCUCUUGUAUAACAAGGAAAUAUUUCUCAAAAAUCCAAGUCCUUUUAAUCAGGUGCCCACCUGUAGAAUAAGGGAAUAUUUUUCAAAAUUCAAGUCUUGGUAAUCAGGCACCCACUUGCAUAACAAGGGAAUAUUUUUCAAAAUUUAAAGGUUUGGCAAUCAGGCGCCGACUUGUAGAACAAGGGAAUAUUUUUCAAAAGUCAAGUUUUGUUAAUCAGGCGCCCACCUGGAGAACAAGGGAAUAUUUUUCAAAAAUUUCAAGUUUUGGCAAUCAGGCGCCUACCUGCAGAACAAUGUAAUAUCUUUCUAAUGUCAAGUUUUGAUAAUCAGGAACCAAUCCGGAGAACAAGGGAACACAACUCAAGUUCCGCAAUCAGGCGCCCACCUAUAAAACAAGGGAAUACUUCUCAAAACUCAAGUUUUGGCAAUCAGACGCCCACCUGUAGAACAAGGGAAUAUCCUUCAAAUAUCAAUGUUUUGGUAGUCAGGCGCCCACCUGGAGAAUAAGGGAAUAUUUUUCAAAAUCUCAAGUUUGGUAGUCAAGCGCCCACCUGGAGAACGAGGGAAUGAUUUUCAAGGGAAUACAUGUAAAGUCCACCAAUUCAGCAUCAAACAUGAAGGAAGAAAAGGCAAGCAGUCAACAAGGCAACAAGGAGUUCGCAGGAAGAAAUACAAGGCAACAAAGCAACAAGGAUCAAAAGCGAGAUUGAAGACGUAGAUAGGUUUUUCUUUAUAAUCCGUAGCUUAUAGCUUAGUUUAGUUUUCUUUUUAUUUUUCACAAGGUGUAUUAAGGAGGUCAGCAAGCAGUAACAGCGGCAUCAGUAGUGCAAUCACAGCUUCUUGUAGUCCCAGCUACCAAACACUCCAAAACUACACCAACAUGAUUCCUUUAUAGCCAUGAUAUGUAGGCAACCUUUGAAGCAGGGUUCGGUCAGACAGUUUUCAAAAUGCUUCUCAUGGAAUGCAAAGCAGGCAGAAAUCUCUCAGUUGCUCACUUAUCUUUGCGCAUUAACCCUUCGUUUCUCCGAGCAAAGAGGGGCAGCUGUGAGGACGUGAUUUUUGCCUCACUAGAAAUGUUCCUAUAAAUUCGCUAAAUUAGGACUUUUCUUUUAUUAUUUGAAUUUUUAGGAGUUAAUUUUGUGAUUUUAUGUUUAUUUGAAUCUUUCUUUCAUUAAUUGUGUGAUUUUGUAUUUAUUUGCGUCUUAUUAUUUAAAUUUUUAGGAUUUAUUUUCUUGAUUUGGUGUUUGUUGGGAAUUAAUUGCAUAUUUUGUGCUUAUUUGCAUGUUGCAUGUUUUAAUUUGCAUAAUCCAUAAAAAAAUAUAAAUGGCAUGGUUGCGUUUAGGAUUUAAUUUUUGCAUAUUCAGUUAAUAUUGAAAAUGAGAAAAAUAACAAAAUUAGGCAUACCUACAUUUGUUUAAAUUUCUUUUGAAUUUUACAAUUUAGGUUAUUUUAGAGGUUAAUAAUUUAUUUUUUGGAAGAUAAAAUAUAUUUUGGUUUAUUUCUAUUUCUAUUGUUAAAUCUGAAAAUGAAAUAAAUAAAUAAGUGUAUAUGCUUAGCUCUUCUAUAAGGUCAUAAUCUGGGCCAUGGAAAUUCAGUAGCCCAAGUCAAAAUACCCCCCCAAGACCCAAUCAGACCCAAGUCCGACCACUUGCCGGCGCAAAACACCAAGGCCAAAACGACAUCAUUUGAUGUCCACUGAUCUCAACCGUCUAUGCCCCUGGAUCCAAUGGCUCAGAUUGAGCCUCACACACUGAUAAGAGUGUCUGAACAUACUCACUGCCCUAGAGAAAAUCCCUAACCUCCUCGUACCAACUACGCACCGAUGUAACACUGCCACCAAUCCACCGUACCACCACCGUCCACCGCCGGCGAAAAAUCACUACGCCAGCGGUGUAACUCCAAUGACCUCAAAAAUUACACCCCGAAAUCCCUGUCCUCUCCUCUUCCCAACCCCCUAAGAUCUCCCUUCGAAACCCAUCCAACUUGUCGAAUAUCCGUUCAAAACCUGGUUUCCACGGCGGCACCCGGUGGCCAACAGCUCCCAAAGUUACACCCCACACUCCCCUAGUUCCCCUCUAUCCAACCCUACCAUAAGUCACCCUAAAACAUAUGCCCAGGUCCUCGAAUAUUCUGUUGAAUGAGGUAGCCCCGCCAUGCACGGCAGUGACCGGGCUCCUAUAGCCUCCAAAUCUCAACCACCCACCCCUCUAGCCCUCCUCUACCCAAAAAACACAGCUGGUCCUUUUCAAAUAAUCCUAUGCCUCUCCAAUGUUAAAACCAGCCAUGACCUAAGUUUGAGUUCAAUUUUUAAAAGACUGUUUGAGUGCUGCUUGGAGGCUUAAAUUUAUUUCCACAAAGUUUAAUUGAAUAAAACUAGUAAGCUUAUUUUUUUCCGAUUGUUUUGCUUCUUUUGUUGAUGAUUUUGUUUGUUCUAAUUAUUUGUUUCAAUUGGAAAUGAUUGUUAGUUCUCAACUUUAAGAAUACUCAGUUUUCUCUAGUUAAUCUAGUUAAAUUUGAUUCAGUUGCAUCUUAUUUUCUGAUGAUUCCAUGAAAUACUCAUUUCUUUUAGUUUAAUUUCCAUGCUUGAUUAGUUUCAUUGCUACCAUAAAUUUAGUUAAAUCCUUGCUUCUUCACAUGUUAUUACGUAGAUUAGCUUAGUCUAAUGUUUAAUUUUAGUAUGAAUUAGACUUAAUUUCAAUCCUGAUUAGUUCAAAUAAAAGCUGUAGUUUAGCAUUUCCCUUUGAUUGUUGAAUCUCAUCCCAUUUGUGUGAAAUAAGUGAAAUGAGUUGGUUUGUAAUUGUCAAAUGCAUUUCUGCUUAUCUAUUUAUAAUUAAGGGUUGUUUGGGUGUAAGUUGACUAACCUUAGUCGGAUUGGGACAAAAGGGGGUUGGGUUUGGUAAUUUCAAGGUACUAAAAGGGUAAUGCAGGGUUUUCCUCCUAUUUGAUAAUUUUAGGAUAAACUAGGGGUAAUAUAGAAUUUUAGUAUAAGUUUUGUAAUUUUCAGAAUAAAAUAGGGGUAAUAUAAAGUUUUUAACCUGGCUUUGGUGAUUUUUGGAAUAAAAUAAGUGUAGUAUAGGUAGUCUAUAAAUGGAAGACAAUGCUAGAAGCCUUUAGACCCUUCUAGAAGGGGGUUUUAAUCUAAAAUCAGUAGUUUUAUCGCAGUAACUUGGGCAACAAGUCAAAAAAUGAGGGUCCAAGUUGGUAAAAUUUGGAAAUUGAAGGAAGGACCUUUAGUUAAAACAAAAUAAAAGUGUUGCCCUAGCCUUUGGCUAUAAAAGGGACUCUAAAUCAUUCAAAGGAGAAGGUUGGACAAGUCUGAAAAUCUCUCUAUAAUUCCUAUUGUUUUGAAGCUUAAAAAUAUCUCAAAAAACUCCUGAAAACCUCUAGAAAUUCAGUUUUACUGUCCAUUGGAUUUUGUCUUUAAGAAACUCCUGAUUUCAGUUGUCUAUCAGAGAUUUAACUAUAGGAGAUCGAAAGAUGACUAGAAAUACACAUAUUCAAAGUUCCAAUAUUUGGCCUGGUUUCAGUCCUGGGUAUUCUAUGCUGUCCAUGGGUUCAUUUUUGUUUAUUGAGGUUCCUUCGAGCCAUCUAGUGGUCUCUUACUAGUUUGAAUUUGGAUUUAAACUUCUCUAGUCAAUUUGGUAGCAUUUCUGGGUUUGUUGACUACAGAUGAGCUCUGUUAUCUUGUGAUUAUUGUGCUGGUUAAGUUGCUGACCCUCGGUUUUUUUUUCUACUCGACUUCCAGGUACAUUUCCUAAGCUUGAUUAUGUAAAACCCAAUUUGAGACAAUGAAAUGAAGUUGGAUGCACAAAUUGCUCUACAUUUGUUAUUUAAACAUUGAAUAGAUUUAAUUUGUUUUAAUAUUCACUUUCAACAUCUAUAGGACCGUUUUGGACUAUUAAAACAAUUGUGUUGUUUUGAUUUCAUGGGUAAAGAAUGCCAGUAGCAUAAUCUUAUUCAAGGAUAGAGUAGUUAGUAGUGUAGUGAAUUUAUAGUUCAAAUAUACUAUUAGUAUUGUAUGAUGAUUGGUAUGUAUUAGUUGAUAUGAUUGUAUUACCGUAGUCAAGCAUAGCUAAUAGGAUUAUUUGGGGGCUAUCACUAUGAGUCAAUGUUCAUAUAGAAGUGUUAAUCAAAUUUGAGCUUGAUAGAUGGUCUUAAUUUUCCCUUUUGUUUCGCAUUAAUCUUUACUCACACUUGUGAUAUAAGUCUGUCUAUAAAGAUUAUUUGUGCAAUACCGAACUAGCUUGGGCUAACUAGACAAUAACGUCAAGCCCAGCUCCGACUGUUGCAUACUUUGUUUCCUGCGUAUCUCCACUCAAGGCUCACGUUAAGGCCCAAAUAUAAUAAUACACGGUGGUCUGCUUCACCUGAAGGCGUAAAUGAAAGGAAUUAGUGGUGUUAAUUUAGAUAGUACAUCGAAACGAGGAAGAUUUAAUUUUAUUUUAAAAUGGAUACGAGUUUUGAAAGCCCGGACUCCGACAUUAAUUACGCUAAGUCCUUUAGAGGCACAAUUUAGUUGGCUUAGGGUGGACCUUUAAAUAAUAAACGGGGCACGCCACGCCAAACAAACUAUAAAUUGCGCGGCCCUCGUGAAAUAUUUAUAUUAUAAUAUCUAGAAAUUUGGGACAUGUCGUUUAGCCAAUUUCACGGCUUCCCACAAAGAUAAUAACGUGGUAGUCGCUUUUAUGCACGUCUUUAAAAAUUUUGUCUUCAUAAAUACAGGUGCGCAUUUAUGUGACCCAAAUCUAAAUCUCAACGGAGUUGGAAUGUUUCAAAAACCGCGGGUGCAAUUAUGUGACGCGGUUCAAGACAUGUUUUAACGAUGUUGCAAUUUUUUUUUAAAUAAUAAUAAAAGUGGUUAAAGAUUCAAAAGGCGCAUAUUUCCAUAAUUGUAUAAAAUCAGAUAAAUUAAGCCAAAUAUAAUAGUUGAGCGACCAUGCUAGAACCACGGAACCCGAAAAUGCCUAACACCUUCUCCCAGAUUAACAGAAUUCCUUACUCGGAUUUUUGGUUCGCAGACUAUUAAACAGAGUUAUUCUUUCCUCGAUUCGGGAUUCUAAACGGUGACUUGGGAGACCACAAACCUCCCAAGUGGCGACUUUGAAUUCUCUUAAAUAAUUGAAUCCCGUUUCGAUUGUCCUUAAAUUUGAAAAACUCCCCUUAUCUACGCCCUUCACCGGGUUGUGGAUAGCCAAAAGGAGGUGUGACAACGAGUACCUAUGAGCAACCAAAUUAUCAUUUUUGCAUGUUCCCUUCCCCGUCUCCCUUUAUAUUUCUAUCCUUAUUUAAUUGCUACUUGCUCCUAAGUGUUUCCAUGUCUAAUUUCUUCAUAUUAAUUGUUGUUCUCAAAAUUGAAGUGUUAAUUGCUCCAUGGUUUCAUUUCGUUACCCCUUUGGUUUAUUGGUUCCUUAUAGUGUAUCUUCGUUUGUCUCGCUGAGUAGUUUUUAAUGGAGAAGUUUCAUAAUCAUAAUGAUAUUCCGUUGUGUGGAUUUAAGUGUAAGUAAUGUGAGGAAUUUGAGUUAGCUUGUGAAACACCUUGUCCUUAUUCUUUGUGAUUAGUGUUAAUUUAUAUAUAUAUAUAUAUAUAUAUAUAUAUAUAUUAUGAGUUGUGAUUUUUGUGCUCCAUCGGUGUGGGAGCCAACACUUGUUGUAAAAUUUUGACGGAAUUGAUCUAGUGAGAGGUUCUAUUUGGUUUGACGAAUAUCCUACUUGUGAUUCAGAGUUGAGGGUGGGACCCUCGUGAUUUGAUGUGAUUUAAUGUGUUUGGACCAGACUGUGUAAAGGGAGAAUUGUGAUUAUCGAGUGGGAUCGGGUUGUAUGCCUCAAUAAGGACUAAUAAGGGUGGACAUGUGGGAUCAGGUUUUAUACCGCAACAGAACGAAUAAGGGUAAUAUGCGUUGAGGAGUAAUUCGGAAGGACAUGCCGCAACAAGGAAAAAUAAGGGAGAAUGUUGAUAUUGUUAUCGUUCAUAUGGUUGGGUCGGGAUGCACGCCGCAUCAAUUAUUGUUUUUGGCAUUAAUUUCUAUUGAAGUUUAUUAUUUAGAUGUUAAAAUUCUCUAAGGAUUCUUUAUUGCUGAAUACUCGUAGAAUAGCUCGGUUUAGUGUUUCUUUAAUGCAAGUCCCAAUUAUUUUUCAUUCUGUACAUUUUUUUUGUUUAUUAUAAACUAUUGCAGCUUAGAUAUAUAUAUAUAUAUAUANNNNNNNNNNNNNNNNNNNNNNNNNNNNNNNNNNNNNNNNNNNNNNNNNNNNNNNNNNNNNNNNNNNNNNNNNNNNNNNNNNNNNNNNNNNNNNNNNNNNNNNNNNNNNNNNNNNNNNNNNNNNNNNNNNNNNNNNNNNNNNNNNNNNNNNNNNNNNNNNNNNNNNNNNNNNNNNNNNNNNNNNNNNNNNNNNNNNNNNNNNNNNNNUAUAUAUAUAUAUAUAUAUAUAUAUAUAUAUAUACCUGUCACACACCCGCAAAGGGAGCGUAAAGGAGUUUUUCCACUUUAAGGUCAAUCAGAACGAGAUUUAGUUCAUUAAUUCAGAGUUGCCACUUGGGAGAUUUAUGGUGUCCCAAGUCACCGAUUUGAAUCCCGAACCGAGGAAAAGGGUUGACUCUGUAUCACAGUCUGGGUAUCUGGAAUUUGGAAUGACAAAGGACAUGAGAGAGAGGUUAGUGACAGCAGGUGCAAUCAUCGGCAAUAUAGCCAAGCAAAGAGUGUAAACUAGCAGCAGCACACAACAAGCUCAACCCAGAGACAAGUUCAGCAAUCCAGAAGCAUUUUAAAACUCAGAACCAAUAAAUCCACCCAUAACCACAUCACACCACCAGACAAUGAAUUUAGAAAUCCCAGGAAGGUUGAGAACUCAAACGAAAUCGUUAAAUUGAAACAAAACACUCAAAAUGCACUCGGUCACACCAGCAAAACAUCAACACAUCUCCAAAGCCCCAAAUCUCAAUCAAAACAAACCUAAUUAGACUCAAAACUGCUCGAAAUCAACCACGGAUACUUCAACUACUGAAAAUUGAACUAGGAGAUGAAAAUUACCCCAUAAAACUUGAAUUUAUCCUAGGAAGUUGGGACAGAACAAUAUUUUUUGGAUUUUAAGUCAUUUUUCUAUUGUUUUUGGUUUUUUUCAUUUGAGGAAGUUAAAAUCUAAGAGAAUUUCAGAUCUGAAGUUUUAAUUCCUGAUCUGGAAGCUUUGGGGAGUAUUUUUUUUGGGGAAUUUUUAGGCUGCAAAAACUUGCUCUUCAAGGAAAUUUGAUGCCUUUUUAUAGGCCUAAGGAAGGGCUGCCCUAAAUUUUCUUUUUCCUUUCUAAUCCUUUUUAGAUUUUCUUUUCAAAUUCACCCCUAAGUUAACUUCUAAUUCUGAAAUAAAACCCAUUCCUCCCCCAGAUAAAAGCUGCCAUUCUCUCCUCACUCCUCACAUGCCUUUCCAACCUUAUCUACUAGAACCUUCCUACAUAACAGAAAUAUUCCCUAUACCUAAAUCCUAAAAUACCCUUUACCAUCCCUCUUAUUACCAAACCAAAAUAAUUCAGCUAUAACCAAAUCAGCCCUACUUUAAUUGAAACUGAAAACUUAUCACACGAGUCAUUAAAGAUAACUAAAAUUUGAGUUACCUAAUAAGGAUGUUGAAAACAGAUUGCAAUGAAUAAUUACGGGUCGACUAAUUAUCGAAAUGCAUCAACAUUAGUAUUAAGAGCAACAUUCGACUGAAAAUCUAACUGGGAAAACAGUUUGCGAGAAGGAUAUUCAACUAAAUAUAAUUGAUUGAGUUAAUUAGAACUAAACUAAUACCUACGAUUAGACCAACAUUUGACAACCUAAAACUGAAUAAGACAAAAUUCAAAUAAGCUAAACAAAAAUGGGAAUUAAACUCAGAGCGGAAUUGGACAGAAAUUAAACUGGCAAUCAAACUUAUUAGGAGACUAACUUCGAUUAACAGAUAAAAUGAGAAACUAAAAAAAACAAAGAGGGACUCACUGCUUGCAAAUUGGUUCAGAGUUUGUGAAGUCUUGGUGGUACUCGACCCUCGCCAAGGAUCGAUUCUUCACGAGGAGACGAGGCAACCUUGGCGUGUUAAUUUGAGACCAAAUGGAGGACCUAAGGACUUGAUUGCCAUAUUUGACUGAAUAUUCGAGGCGUUGCAGACUGAUUUGAAGGAAACCCUUGAUGGAUUGGUGAUGAGGCGGAGGAGAAUGUCUAGUGGCGUGAGUUUGGACCCGUUAGGGCGCGUUUCGACUUGGCCGGACAAUUUUAAUCGAAGAUUCGGACAGUCUGACUGUGAUUCGAAGGAAACCAAUAUGAUAUUUGGAUUGAGGGUAUCGAGGAGGGUUGGUGGUGUUAUUUUUGGUGGGAAUAGUCAAGAUGGCGUUUCCCGCCGGCGAGGAUUUGCAGAGAGUUAUACGAGGAAGGAAGCCUGGUCGUUUAGGGUUAGUGACAAUUUCAGACAAUUUUAUUAUACAUGAGGGAUGCAACGUUGGCCAUUGGAUGCGGAUGAAUGGAUGGCUCAGAUUAGAUCGACCAAACGGCGGCGUUUUGGUCUUAAAAAACUUGACCGGGUCGCGGAACAUUUGGGCCGGGUUAUUGUGUGUAUUGAAAUUGACUUGGGAAUAGAUAACAAUGGCCCAAUUCAGCAGCCUUCCCUUUUUUUCUCUCAUUUUUUAAUUUAUAUCCUUUUAUUACACUUCUUUUAAUUCACUUUUUUUUUCAUUUUCCAAAUUAUAACUUUGUAUUGUAUUUUUUUCUGAUUUUAUAAAGACGUAAAAAUAAAAAUAAAAAUUUAAACCAAACUAACUCAUGCCUAAGAUUACUUUUAAAAACUAAUGUGCGACAAUUUCACAGUUAAUGCAACAUGACUUAUUUUUGUCAUUUUCUCAUUUUUAUAAAACAAUUAAUUUGAUAAUUAAUCCUAAAAUAUAGAGUUAAAUCAUAAAAUUCAAAUGUAUAUAUUUUUGUUGUUUUUAUGAAUUAUCAUGCACAAGUAAAUUUCAACAAUUAUCGGAAAAUGACACAAAAAUUGUAAAAGUAAAGGUAAAUCAUUUGUUUUGAUUUUUUAUGGGAAUAAUUCAUAUAUACGGCAAAAAUCACGUGCCCAAGGUAGAGAGUUCAAUUUCAAAUCCAAUGAUUUAUUGACCUACAAAUUCGCUAUUACGCAACUCAACCCUUCUCCGCAAACUCUUUCAGUUGUUGGAUGCGCAAAACAACCUAUUCCCCUUUACGACGACUCGGUGACCUUUGACACGUUAGACCUGGUUGCACGUAAUCUUUACUUUCGCCUUUCACUCGUGCAGUUGGACUGACUAGUGACUUUAAAUUAAACCUUGAGACCGAGCCCUGCCUCUCACCUUUCGGUUCAUUGCAAGGAAAGACUAAACUUGUGCAGUUGGACUGACUAGUGACCUUAAAUUAAACCUUGAGACCGAGCCCUUCCUCUCACCUUUCCGUUCAUUGCAAGGAAAGACUAAAAAGAAAAAAAGGAAGUUUUCGGCGGACACAAGCCCUCGAGACUUGACAUUUGGACACCGGGAAGCUUGCCUCUAGAUACUGGGUCCUUCGUUUGGAACUGCCCUUUUCCUUUCCAAAGUGAAAUUCCUCCUUGCUUUCCCCUUUGACCUGUGCCAAACUCCACUUUUGCUGUUGCCAGGUGGAAUGAUUCAUUCAACCUCGGUAUCGGCAACCAAGACACCCUUCUCUGUCGAAUGAAUUUCUCACAUGAAUAGACGUUUGAAUAUUCGCUCAGUACUUGAACCUUCGAUCACUCGGAUUCGUCGUUCACCUUCUCAAACCGACGAAGCCUACUCGACCUUCGUAUUCCCUGCCCCCAUACCUGAAUGAAGGAAAGUAAUAGCUAGAAAAAGAGGCUAUUCCAUCGUUGGCAUAAGAUGAACCGAGGAAUCCAACCAAAUAUGAAUGAAUAGGCAUGUGGGAACAGCAUUGCUUGCAUUGAUUCAAUUGGAAGAGGCUAUUCAAUCGUUGGCAUAAGAUGAACCAAGGAAUCCAACCAAAUAUGAAUGAAUAGGCAUGUGGGAACAGCAUUGCUUGCAUUGAGUCAAUUGAUUUGAAGCGGCGGAUAUACUAUGCAUACAUAGUUUUCACUAGGGGUUUUUACCGAAUUGUUCACAAGCCCGUCAGAAGAAUACCGCCAUAACCUCAUUACUACUUCGCCGAGGUUAGGCUCGGAACUUACCAUUAUAUAGGGUCGGUUGUACUUAUACUACACUCUACACUUUCUGUGUAGCUUAGGGAGCUAGUGGGUGGCCAAAGUACGAGGUUCCUACCUUCAGUCGAUAGGAGACCCAAGGUAGUCCUGCAGACAUUCGUGGGCCCUUGCAUCUCCUUCUAUCCUAUCUUAUUUCAGUAUUAUCUACAUCCUAAACAUAUGUAAACAUUUGUUCAGACUAUUAUUUGUAAUAUUUGUAGACUGUCUGUGGGUUAUAACAUUUAGUUCUGGGUAAGAUUUAUUAUGGUUUUGUUAUUUUCUCAAACAUAAACGUUUAUACUGUAUUCUUCCGCAUUUAAGUUUUGCUAAUUUACUAUGUUUAAGUUUUAAAUUGCUAAAUAUAAAAUAAACAGGUGAAAUAUUCUGAAAUGUUGGUUUGCCUAGCGUGUACAAUGUUAGGCGCCAUCACGAUCCCGAUGAUGGAAAAUUCAAGUCGUGACAAGUUGGUAACAGAGCACUAGGUUGCUUAGGUCUCACAAUUCACGGACAUGUUUGUUAGAGUCUGAGGGAUCGGUACGGAAACGUCUAUGCUUAUCCCCCAUAGGCUACAGAGUAUAGGAAAAACUUCACAUUUAUUCUUUCUUGUCAUGUGACUUGAUUUCCAAAUACUAAUUGAACUCCCACUCUAUUCUUUCGUAGAUGGUAACAACACGUACCACUUCAUCAGCUGAUCAGCAGCGUGAGCCCCUAGAGGAAGCUCCUACAAGGGGUAGAGAACGAGAUCGAGGCAGGGGCAAGGCUUAUCCUAGAGUUCGAGCAGCAGCAGUAGCUGCGGAGCCUCAGGUUGAGUUUGAUGAUGAGGUACAGGCCCAGGCCAUUCCAGCGAGCCCAACUCAAGUUCUAGAGGGGUUCAUCAUUAUUCUGGUACUCCAGAAUGCUCUGGUCCAUCUAGUGGGCCUUAUGGGAGUGUCACCCAGCCAGGCAUACUUCCAGUAGUACUAGACGUCUCUCGGGCUGGGGGAGAAGCAUAGACUCCCGCUACUCACACUCCGGAACAAAUGGCUCCCUAUGAGCAUGUGAUUUUUGCCUUAUAUGAAAUACUCCUAUAAAAUCCCAAGAAAUUAGAUUUUUUGUUAAUUAUUUGCCGUUUUAGGGUAUUUUUAUAGAAUUUUUAUUUAAUUGUUUGCAUUUCGUGUAUAUUUAUGUUUUAUUUAAAUCAUGAAAAAAUACCAUGCAUUGCAUUUAGGCUUUAUUUUUGCAUUUUAGGAUUAUUCAAUAAUUACUUGUUUUAAUAAAAAUGAAAAUCAUAAAAAAAUAUCUCAUUUUUUACAUUUUUUACCUUUAAAUCUUUAGGUUAUUGAUUUUUCUAUUUUAAUUUAGAAGUAAGUGACGUUUAUAAUUUUUAUAAUUAGACAUUUUGUUUAGUUUUAUAAUUUAGAUAAUUUAAGAUUUUAAUUUUUAGUAUUUUUACUUUUUUUUUAAAAAGAAAAGAAAAGAAAAUGAAAGCAAUAAAAGAGUUUAAUACAAAGAUUGGGGUUUGUUUGCACUUGGAUUGAUUUUAAUAUCCAUACCAGCCAAAAAUUGCCCCAAAAUCCGCCCAACCUAGGCCCAAAUAACCUUACCCGAUCCAGCCCCCUCCCCCCACGUAAUACCAAAUGACCCCGUUUUGAUUCAAAGGAUCCUAGUAGUCGAUCAUCACAAAUCAAAUGGUUGAGAACUGGGCGUUCCAAUGCUAAAUAUGUUUCCGAAAAUGAAAAACCCCUAACCCUCGAAAGACCCCUCACUCACUGUCUCCACUCUCUCUCUAAACUCUAAACCCUAGCCACAUGUAUAUCCCUCGCCAGCUCCGCCCAAUUUCGCCGGCUGGAAAUGGCCUCACGGUAGCGAACCACCACCAAAUCUCCCCAAAUUUACACCCUGAAAGCCUAUUUACCUCAUCAUUCUAGAUCUCCAACUCUUUUCUCUCGAAUCCCAGCCUGAACCCUCAAAUUUUAGAUCGAAAAUUCGGCCAAAUCCUUAAUUUUUCAAAAUUUACCCCAUAUAGUCAUGUUCACCUCCUCUCCCUGAAUAUCCCUAUAUUCCCUUUUGAACUAGCCCAGAAUCUCCCUAAUUUUGAAUCUGAAACUUAAAACCCUAAAUUUUCUUUCCUCUUUUCUUGGUCUGUACAUGGUCAAAUGAACUUAAAACCUCUAUUAGUCGACUGUUCUUGUUAAUAAUUGUCGAUUAAUGGUAGUCAAAGUUCAUUUAUGCUUCAACAAGUUUGGACAAGUUCAUAAAUUGGUCAAGUUUUGAAAUAAAACUUAGGUAAACUGCUUUCUUUUCUUCUGUUGUUUGGUUUUACCUUUUGUUCUUCUUCUGCAUGUUUAAUUAUUUUAUUCUGGCUAUAUAUUUUAGUUAGUCUAUUUUAGAUUCGUUUUCCUUUAAUUCACAGAUUAUUAGCUUUGUUUGAUAUUUGUUUUGUUUAUUAGAUCAAAAAAAUAAGGAAAAGCAUCUUUGCAAUUGUUUGAUUUUAGUUACCCUAGGUUUUAUCUCUAAGAUUCAGCAUUUCAAUUGAUGAUCCGCACGAUGCACCAUUCUGUGCCGAUUCUAUUAAUUAUAUGUGAGGAAAGAGAGUAAAGCACGAAGGGUGAUGCCGUGCUACAUAACGUACCAUUCUGUGCCGAUUCUAUUGAUUAUAUCUGAGGAAAGAGAGUAAAGAACGAAGGGUGAUGUCGUGUCGCACGAUGUACUAUUCGUGCCGAUUCUAUUGAAUAUAUGUGAGGAAAGAGAGUAAAAGCACGAAGGGUGAUGCCGUGCACAUUUUAUUACAUCAUUACUUAGUAAGGAUGAGAGUAAAAGCAUGAAGUGUAAUGUCGUGCACAAUUUAUUAUACCAAUACUGGGUGAGGAUGCGAGUAAAAGCACGAAGGAUGAUGCCGUGCACCUACUAACUCUUUCUUUGAUUUCUUAUUGUUGUCAGCUCAAGUGCAUUUAAUUGUCUUAUUCCACUAUGAAUAUGAUUCUUUGUGUUGACAUCUCCCUUUAUUAUGUUACUUGUUAUUAUUGGAUCAAGGUAUCCUUGUUCAACGUCAUGUCUUGAAUUUAUGCCAUAAUUGCUACAUGAUUAUGUGACUUAAUAGCUACUUGAUAUUCGACCCAUUAAAUACUAAAUUUACCAUGUCUUCAAUUUAUGCAAUUAAUUGCUACAUGAUUAUGUGACUUAAUUGCUACCUGACAUUCGACACAUUAAAUACUAAAUAUUCUAAUUGCUCUUUAAAGCCCAUAAGUAAUUAAUACUUGUCAUUAUUUGUGUUCUUCAGUGAAACAUAAUUAUUGUGUACUUGUUGUCUUAUGAAUUCAGAUUAAUUAUUGCAUUAUUAGAGUAAAUUUCAUUUGGAAGAAUGUUGAUAUAAUGUAAUGGGAGUCGGUGGUAUGCCUACCACGAGGUUUGGUAAAAUGGCAGCGGGUGGUAUAUAUAUAUAUAUAUAUAUAUUAUAAUUUAGAUAAUUUAAGCUUUUAACUUUUAGUAUUUUUACUUUUUUUUUAAAAAGAAAAGAAAAGAAAAUGAAAGGCCCUGAUAUCUCCUCCUUUCAUCUACAUUCCUGUUUCUUUCAUGUAUUUCUGGAGACAGUGUUGAGUGUAUUUCUUUCAAACCUUUAUGUGUAGUAUCCUUAGACCAUAUGUGAAAUUGUCACAUUAGUUGUGGGUAGUCGAAAUUCAAAUGGUUGUAUUAGAAAUUCAUGUUCAGAAAAAAAAAAUAUUGUUACCUUCCGCUUAAUUAUUUAAAGUGUUUAUGUUUUAAUGUUAUUGACUUCCAUUUGUUAAAAGAGAAGAAAUGUGUUAAUGAAGUAAGUAGCUAAGGAUUGGCUUUUCUAGCUCUCAUUUGUAGGCGCCAUCACAACUCCCGAUGGUGAAAAUUUUGGGUCAUGAAAAAUUAGUAUGACAGCUCAAGGUUACAUGGGUCUCACAGUUGAUAGAAAAGCUUAGUAGAGUCUGAGGGAUUGGUGCAGAGACGUCUGUGUAUAUUCCCCAAAAGCUACAGAGUUAGGAAAAGUUUCACAUUUUUUUUCUUGUCGUGCGGUUUGGUUUCUCAAUGCUAAAUUGAACCUUUUACUCUUAGCCUUUCGCAAAUGGCGAGGUCAUGUAGCUCUUAUUCAGUUGAGCAGAGGCACCGACCAGUGAUAGAUCAACUUCAUCUUCGGAGUCCUUGAGGAGGUAAAGGUAUUAGAAGUGGAGGUAGAGAUGCUAGAGGUGGAGGUACAGAUUCUAGGGGGGAGGUAAAGGUAUUAGAGGUAGAGGUAGAGACUCUAGAGAUGGAGGUAAAGGUAUUAGAGGUGGAGGUGUAGUUAUUAUUCUGGUAUGUGGUGGAGAAGCUUCAAUUUUAUCAUGUGCCGUAUAUGGUCAUGCCUAGUGAUUCUUUGAGUGCCCUGUUUAUGUCUCCACGCCGGUAGGUGAUUCUAUUAUGGCAGAUUGCGUCCAUUGUUCAUGUAUAGUGGUUAUUGGCGGAUUUGAGACUCGUGUAGAUUUGCUUCUUCUGGACAUGAUUGGUUUAACGUUAUAUUGGAGAUGGACUUGUUAUCACCUUAUCACGCUUCCUUGGACUGUUGUGCCAAGACUGUGACCUUAGCUUUACCGGUUAUGCCUCGUUUAGAAUGGAGAGAGACUCCAGCUCAUUCUAUCCGCGGCGUCAUAUCGUAUAUGAAGGCUCGACAUAUGGAUGAGAAAAGGGUGUUUGUCUUAUUUAGCUUACGUUCGGGAUUCCAGUUCUGAGGUUCCCUCUAUUGAUGUUGUGCCUGUUGUUUGUGAGUUCCCUGAUAUUUUUCCUUCAGACCUGUCGGGUAUUCCACUUGACAGGGGUAUUGGUUUUAGCAUUGAUCUGGUUCCGAGCACUCAGCCCGUUUCUAUUUCACCAUAUCGCAUGGUAUUUUCCAAGGUUGACUUGUUAUCUGGUUAUCAUCAGUUGAUGAUUAGGGCAUCUGACGUCCCUAAGAAAGCAUUCUGCACUUGGUACGGGCGUUAUGAGUUCUUAGUUAUGUCAUUUGGGUUGACAAAUGCCCCAACAACUUUCAUGGACUUGAUGAACCGGGUUUUAAGUCCUUAUUUGGACUUAUUCGUGAUAGUGUUCAUUGACGAUAUACUGAUAUACUCUCGCAGCCAGGAAGAGAACGAGCAACACCAUAGAGUGGUUCUUCAGACACUGAGAGAUAGGCAGUUAUAUGUUAAGUUCUCGAAGUUUGAAUUCAGGUUGGGUUCAGUUGCUUUUCUAGGUCAUGUUGCAUUAGUAGAGGGUGUUCAGGUUGACCCAAAGAAAAUAGAGGCAGUCAAGAACUGGCCUAGACCAGCAUCAGCUACAUAGAUUCAGAGUUUCUUCGGGUUGGCAAGCUACUAUCGACGAUUCAUGGAGGAAUUUUCAUCUAUUGCAGCCUUGAUGGCCAGAUUGACCCAGAAAGGGGCCCAGUUCAGAUGGUCGGAUGAGUGUGAGGCGAGUUUUUAGAAGCUCAAGACAGCUCUGACUACGACACCGGUGUUGGUUUGCCCACAUGUUCAGAGCCUUAUACGGUUUAGUGUGAUGCUUCCCGUGUUGGGCUUGGAGCAAUGUUCAUGCAGGAUGGCAAGGUCAUUGCAUAUGCUUCGAGGCAAUUGAAUAUUCAUAAGAAGAACUAUCCAGUGCAUGAUCUAGAGUUGGCAUCCAUUGUUCACGCGUUGAGGAUUUGGCGGCAAGAUCAGUAUGGCGUGGCAUGUGAGGUAUUCACUAAUCACAAGAGCCUUCAGUACUUAUUCUAGAAAAAGGAAUUGAAUUUGAGGCAAAGAAGCUAGUUGGAGUUGUUGAAGGAUUAUGAUGUUACUAUCUUGUAUCACUCGAGAAAGGCCAAUGUGGUGGCCGAUGCAUUAAGUAGGAAGUCAGCCAGUAUGGGAAGUCUAGCUUAUAUUCCGGGUAGCCAAAGACAUCUUGCUUUGGAUGUUCAGGCCUUGGCCAAUCGACUCGUGAGGUUGGAUAUUUCUGAGCGUAGCCGAGUGUUAGCUUGCACGGUUGAUCGUUCUUCAUUAUUGGAGCGUAUCCGUGAUCGGCAAUUUAAUGAUCCCCAUUUGUGUGUAAUUAGAGACACGGUGUAGCGUGGAGGCGCCUUCCCGAUUACCUUGAGUGAUGAUGGAGUUUUGAGAUUGGAGGGUCAAGUUUGUGUACCUAAUGUGGAUAGACUCUAAGAGUUGAUUUUAUUAGGAUUUUCGGCAACUUUAUUGAUGGAAGAGAAUGAAGAUGGUUAUCGUUGCGUAUAUGGUGCGGUGUAUUAAUUGUCAGCAGGUUAAGUAUGAGCAUCAGAGGCCUGGAGGUUUGUUUCAGAGGAUUGAACUUCCCGAGUGGAAGUGGGAGAGGAUUACCAUGGAUUUCCUUACUGGACUUUCGUUGACCCGGAAGAGGUUUGACGCAAUUUGGGUCAUUGUUGAUAGGCUGAUCAAUUCAGCGCAUUUGAUUCCUAUGGCAGUCUCUUAUUCAUCCGAGAGAUUAGCUAAGAUUUAUAUCCAAGAGAUUGUUUGCCUUCAUGGUAUGCUGGUAUCUAUCAUUACGGACAGGGGUACGCAGUUUACCUCGCGUUUAUGAAAAGCAGUUGAGCUAGAGUUGGGCACUCAGGUGGAGUUGAGUAAAGCAUUUCAUCCCUAUACGGAUGGUCAAUCCGAGCAGACUAUUCAGAUAGAGGAUAUGCUCUGAGCCUGUGUCAUUGACUUUAGAGGCUCAGGGGAUCAUUUUUUGCCCUUAGCUGAGUUUGUCUGCAACAACAACUAUCAGCCGAGCAACCAGAUGGCUCCUUAUGAGGUUUUAUAUGGUAGGCGGUGUCGGCCUCCGGUUGGAUGGUUUGAGCCGGGAAAGGCUUAGUUGUUGGGUACAGAUUUGGUUCAGGAGGCCUUGGACAAGGUGAAGAUCAUUCAGGAUAGGCUUCGUUCAGCUUAGUCUAGGCAAAAGAGUUAUGCAGGCGCAAGGUUCGAGAUAUGGUAUUUAUGGUUAGCGAGCGGGGUAUUGCUCUGAGUGUCGCCUAUAAAGGGCGUGAUGAGAUUUGGGAAGAAGGCCAAGCUUAGCCAAAGGUUCUUUUAUCCGUUCGAGAUUCUUGAUCGAGGGGGAGAGGUGGCUUAUAGACUUGCAUUACCGCCUAGCUUAUCAGUCGUCCAUCCAAUUUUUCAUGUAUCCAUGCUUCAGCCCACGUGUUAGACUUCAACACUGUCCAGUUGGACAAGGAUUUGUCGUUUGAGGAGCCGGUAGAUAUUCUAGGCUGGCAGGUUCGUCAGUUGAGAUGCAAGUUUUCCAUUUGUCCGUGUUUAGUGGAGAGGUCAGUCCCCUGAGGCAUCGACCUGGAAGUCCGAGUCUGAUAUGCGGAGUGGUUAUCGUCAUCUUUUCCUCGACUCAAGUACUUCUUUCUUUUGUCCGUUCUAGGACGAACGUUUGUUUUAGAGGUGGAGAAUGUGACAACCCAAAGGGUCAACAUCUGUUUCUUUAUUCAUUUUAUUUCUCCGGGUCCUUGAAAACUUCAAUUAGGGUUGCCUUGAUUUGCAUCACAGUCUUGGUGCGUAGCCGAAAAGCUUAAAUAUGAAUUAUUUGAGAAAAAUGCUAAAUUUUCAUAUUAAAUUGAAUAAAUUUGACAUUGUUCAACACUUUGGGUAAACGGACCGGACUCGUGAUUUGACGGUCCUGGAGGGUCCGUAGGAAAAUAUGGGACUUCGGAAUACGCCCGGAAUCAAAUUCCGAGGUCCCAAGCCCGAGAAAUGAAUUUUGAGCAAAAUUAUUUUCUGGAAAUAAUUAUGAAAAUUGGAAAUGAAAUUUGAUUAAAAGACUAUGGUAUCGGGCCAGUAUUCUGUUUCCGGCGCUCGGUACAAGUCUUAUAUAUGGCUUAAGCCCUUUAUGUAAAGUUUGCUUUAAAACAGACGUCGUUUGACGAGUUGUGGACUUAAAAUGGAAAUUUGAUGUUAGUGAAAAUCUGAAAGGAAUCAUGAAAUUUGAGGUUUAGUUCAAUGUAUAGGAUGUUAUUUUGGCAAUUUGAUCGCAUGGACAAGUCUGCAUGAUAUUUUGAGGUUGUGUGCAUGUUUAGUUAAGAGCCCCAAGGGCUCGUGUUAGCUUUGGAUAAUACACGGAUUGCACUUUGAACUUUGGAAAAAUCUGGUAUCCUUGAUUUGUAGGCUUCGCAUUUGCGAAGCCAGCAUCCCAAGUGCGAGAGUUGGAUAGGGCGGGCUGGUUCACAAAUGCGACCAGCUGGUUCGCAAAUGUGAUGAUUAUGACCGCAAAUGCGAAGGUCCUUAGUUUCUAAAGCGUUUGCAAAUGCAAACAUUUUCUCGCAAUUCUCAUGCCUGCAGGGUUCGCAGUUCCCAUAUCAGAGACCCAGCAAAUUUUAUACUUACUCAAAUUUUAACCAUUUUUCACCAUUCUUUCAAAACCCAAACACCUUAGGCGAUUUUUUAAGAAGAAGUUUCCUUUCAAAUCAUUUGUAAGUCAAUUUUUACUCAAUUCUUCCAAUCAUUAACUUUAUUUAACAUGUUUUCCACUUAAAAUCAAGGAUUUUCUUAGGUGAAAUUGGGGGUUUUGGGUAGAACCUAAGUUUUUAAAAAAUUGGGGAUUUGGACCUCAAUUUGAGGUCUGAUUUCAAAACAAAUCAUAUAUAUAGAUUCGUGGAGGAAUGGAUAACCGGGUUUUUGCUCGAACUUUGAGUUUCGACCACGUGGGCUGGGGGCGUUUUGGACUUUUUGGGUAAAACUUUUGGAAAUUCAUUUUUAUGCAUUCAAAUUGAUUCACCUAUCAUUUGUUGAUUUAUGUAAGUAAUUUGUAACUAGAUUCGAGCGGAUUGGUGGUGGAAUCGAGGGUUAAAGCUAUAAUUGAGGCUUGAGUUGAGUUCGAAGCAUCGAGGUAAGUGUUUGGUCUAAUUUUAGCUUGAGGGAAUAUGAGUUGAGUCUUAUUUGCUACUUGCUAAUUGUUGAGUACGAUGUAUAGGCAUGGUGACGAGUAUCUAUACAUUGGUGUCUAGCAUGAAUGUGAGUCCUUAUUUUGCAAAUAUCUUGGAUUUUGUUGUACCUUCCAUGCUUAAUUGAUGACUUCUAUAUGUUGUAAAGAUCUUGUGAAAGGAAUUGUGAUCUUUAAUAUUCCUGGAGCGUUGGAACGAGUUGAAAGACAAAUUUUGAAGGUAUAUGAGAUAAGUAAAUCUUGGAGCAUUGGCUCGAGUGAUAAUGUGAACUAUGAGAUGAAAGUGAAUGAAAGAAAAAGACUUAGUGAUUUAUUCCCUUGCGGGGACAUUGUUGAUUAUUGAAUAUUUGCCGGGACGUUGAAAAGAGAGUGAAUGAUUUAUUCCCUUGUCGGGAUGUUGCAGAUUAUUGAAUAUUUUUCCUUGCUGGGGCGUUGCUGAUUAUUGAAUAUUUUUCCUUUCCGGGACGUUGUUGAUUAUUGAAUAUUUUCCCUUCACGGGAUGUUGAAAUUAUUGAUGUUGUACCCUUACCGGGUUUUAAUUUUUUGUUUAUGUUCCCUUGCCGGGAUUUCUAUUAUUGUUUUAUUAUUCCCUUGCCCUUGUUUGUGAUUGUUGAUUGGGUAAGGAAGAGUGUUAAAGCAUGGCGGGUGAUGCCAUGCCACACGAUGUACCAUUCCGUGUCGAUUCUAUUGAUUAUAUAUCAGAAAGGAGUGUAAAGCAUGAAGGGUGAUGUCGUGCCACACGAUGUACCACUCUGUGCUGAUUCUAUUGAUUAUAUGUGAGGAAAGAGAGUAAAAGCACGAAGGGUGAUGCCGUGCACAUUUUAUUAUAUCAUUACUUGGUGAGGAUGAGAGUAAAAGUACGAAGGGUGGUGCCGUGCACAUUUUAUUAUAUCAUUACUUGGUGAGGAUGAGAGUAAAAUCACGAAGGGUAAUGCCGUACACCUAUUGUCGUUAGCUAUGAUUUCUUAUUGUUAUCAUCUCAAGUGCAUUUAAUUGUCUUGUUCCGCUAUGACAGUGAUUCUUUGUAUUGACAUCUCCAUUUAUUAUGUUACUUGUUAUUAAUGGAUCAAGGUAUCCUUGUGCAACGUCAUGUCUUGUAUUUACGCCAUAAUUGCUACAUGAUUAUGUGACUUAAUUGCUACCUGAAAUUUGACUCAUUAAAUACUAAAUUUCCUAAUUGCUCCUUAAAGCCCAUAAUUAAUUGCUACUAGUCAUUAUUUAUGUUCUUCAGUGAAACAUAAUUAUUAUGUACUUGUUGUCUUAUGAAUUUGUAUUAAUUGUUGCUUUAUUAGUGUAAAUUUCAUUUGGAUGAACGGUUGAUAUAUUGUAAUGGGAGCGGGUUGUACGCCUACCACGAGGUUCGAAAAUAUUGAGAAAUGGGAUUGGGUUGCACUCAUGCAACAAGAUGUGUACAGACAGUAAAGUCUGCUUUUAUUUUCCUUAUCCGUGUUAGAGAUAAUUUAUUGAUGUUCCUUAUUAUUCUCCUGAAUUUCUGUAUUAUCUGUUAUCCCCGCAACAUGCUUCCCUUCCCAGCUUUAAUUGUUUAUUACUUGUUUACUUUUCCGANNNNNNNNNNNNNNNNNNNNNNNNNNNNNNNNNNNUUUUUUUUCCGCUAUAUAUAUAUAUAUAUAUAUAUAUAUAUAUAUAUAUAUAUAUUACUGCACACGUUUAUGUUGUAGUCCGGUCUAGCCUCGUGACUACUUUCCGGGGUUAGGCUAGGCACUUACCAAACCAUGGGGUCGGUUGUGCUGAUACUACACUCUGCACUCUUUUGUGCAGACCCUAGUGUUGUAGAAUUCAGAUCGCAGUGAGAUUUCUGGAUCUUAUUCAUUAGGCGACCCGAGGUAGCCCUGUAGGCGUUCGCAGGCCCUGGCAUCUCCUUUCAUCAACAUUCCUGUUUCUUUCAUGUAUUUCCGUAGAGAGUUUUGAGUUUAUAUGUUUAAAACCUUUAUGUGUAUUAUUCUUAGACCGUCUGUGAAACUGUGACACAAGUUCUGGGUAGUCGAAAUUCAAAUGGUUGUAUUAGAAAUUAAUGUUCAGAAAAAAAAAUUGUUACCUUCCGCUUGAUUAUUCAAAGUUUCAAUGUUUUUGAUGUUAUUGACUUGUAUUUGUUAAAAGAGAAGAAAUGUGUUAAUGAAGUAAGCAGCUAAGGAUUCGCUUGCCUAGCUCUCAUUAGUAGGCGCCAUGGUGGGAAAUCCGUGUCGUGACAGAAGUAUGACAUCAAUUAAAUUAUCCAUGGCCCUCACGAAUAUUGUUUCUAAUUUUGAACCUUCGUACUUGCUUUAGGCGUGUUCUUUAAAUAAUUCAUCAUUGUUAUGGGUACGGUUCCUGUGACGUAGUUGUGAUAUUUAAUUACUAAAUCCGGAUGUACAUUUCAUGGAACCUAAUUCUCAACAAUGUUAAAUAAAGCCUGUUGUGAACCAUGAGUGCAUUUCAUGUAGCAUGGUUUACGAUGAGUUUAAAUGACAUUGAAUCUUCCUAAAAAUAAUUAAAAGCAGUUACAAGAGCUAAAGAUCUACAAUAGGUUAAAUAUGUAGUCAAUCAGAUAAUAGUCCAAUUUUAAUAGUUUAAGUAAUCUCGCUAGAAAUACGGAACCUAGGAAUGCCAAACCCCUUCUCGCGGGUUAACACAAUUCCUUAUCCAGAAUUCUAGUUCGUAGAAUCUGAAAUAAAGUCAAAUUUCCUUGAAUUGACAUUUUAAAAUAAACCGGUGACUUGGGACACAUUGAUACAUAUCCCAAGUGGCGACUUUAAAAUAACUCAAUUUCGAAUAAUGUCACUUUAUAUGAAAAAACUUCGCUAUACCCCCUCAGAUGGUAAAAAAGGAGGAGUGAGCUCUUGCAACUCUGCCGGGGACAAAGAACCCAGAACUUUUGGUUAAGGGUUUAAGAAUUCGAGCUCAGAAUAACUAUUAUAUUUGGUUUUAUUUAUUAUUGUCACGAUUCAGUUCACCCUCCGUAGACCAUCUGACGGCACCUAGUAUCUACGACUAGGUAAUCCUAACAAUGCAGAAUAUAAACCAUAAUUGUGGAAGAAAUAAUUAAAACUGAACUAGUAAAGUAAAAAAGUGUUUAAGGAUGUAAGAGGCUCUAACUCGGGAAUGUCUAAACAAAUGAAGAACACUGAGAGGGCUAUACUUAUUACAAAAAAAACUAAAAAGGGACUCCUUAGUCUGCGGACAUAACAGAUAUACCUCGAAGUCUCUACAAAAAUGCCUCCUUCCAAGGCUAACAGCACUGAGUGGAAAUACCUGGAUUUGCUCAACAAAAAUAUGUAGAAGAGUAGCAUGAGCACACCAAGGCAGUGCCGAGUAAGUAUCAAGACUAACCUCGGCGGAGUAGUGACGAAGAACAGACAAGAUACUUACCGGUCAAAUAAACAGUAUAAUUAUAGGAGCAACAGAACAUGAUAUAUAUAUAUAUAUAUAUAUAUAUAUAUAUAUAUAUGUGUGUGUGUGUGUGUGUGUGUGUGUGUUUGAAGACUUUAGUAAAUGACCAAUAAUGCUACAAUUACAAUGAGGGAAGAAACAACAAGUAACACGAGAAUAUAAAGAAUGAUGACACAUAAUCACGACAAAAUACAAUCCAUGACCAAUAAUACUACAAUCACAAUAAGGGAAGAGACAACAAGUAACAAUGAGAAUAUAAAGAAUGAUGACACUUAAUGACGGAAAAAAAACACAAUCCAAAUCCUAAGGUCACAAUAGAGAAAGGAGAAACACACAACAAUAACUCGGGUCCUAUGGUGGUGUUCACAUCGGGCCUUAUUUAAAAAUUUCCAUGAAUUUACAAAAUCUCGGUCAAAUCACAACUCACGAGUCCCAGCCUCUAAAAUCUAUCACUUGCCAUCCUGUGCCUCCUUAAGUCUUAUGAACAUACUGACAACUAACUGGCUAACUAGGGCCACUCUCACAUAUAAAAUUAUUAAAUGAGGACAUACCUAUAUACUUAGCAAAAUCAGAAGGACUUCACAUCCAAUAGGAGUGUUUUAACUACAUGUAAGCUUGUGCAAGUGCUUUAACAAGAUUUCUACCAUCUAAUAAAUGUAAGAAGAAGAAUGGGCAGCACGCACAAUGUCCCCUCAGCACAUCCACAAGAUAAAGCUCAUACAGGAAAUCAAGCCACAAUCACAAUAUUAAAUGAAAAUAGGAAUGCCUCCACAGUCCUUCAGAAAUACUUAAAAUCAAUCCCUAACAUAGCCCACCUUAUUCCGCCACGUAUGCAAACAAUAACAUAAUAAGUGCCAUGCCACGUAUGAAAUGUACACCCGGAUUUAUUGACUUGUAUUUGUUAAAAGAGAAGAAAUGUGUUAAUGAAGUAAGUAGCUAACCCGAGGACCUUUUCAUUUUUUCGGCAUAACCAAUGACUUUUCCAGCAUAAACCGAGGAUUUUUCCCUUUUUUCGGCAUUACCCCAUGACUUUUCCAACAUAAUCCGUGGAUUUCCCUGCAUAUCGAUGACCUUUUUCUUUUCCGGUAUAACCCGAUGACCUUUUCCGGCGUAACCCAUGGACCUUCCCGGCAUAACCUGAGGACCUUCCUACAUUUUUGGCAUAACUCGGCCAUUUUUCCAGUAUAACCUGGAAAUCUUUCAAACUUAGGGCCCCCAAUCCCUAGUUGAUUUCAUUAUAGCUGUUACAAGUGCUCAAGAGACUCAGAGUCAGAGGGUUCGACUAAAGUUUACUGUGGCUGAGGAAAAUAGAAUACUGAAAUAGCAAGUGGUCAAAAUGUGCCAAGCAUAGGCUAAUGGCCUAGGAGAACCUUGUCAUGAGUCAGAAUUUUCUACACAGCAAGAGAAGUACCACUCUUCUGAAUACCACUCGUACUCGUUUGAUCUUCCUGCAAAGAUUAAGAAGCCUGCUUGAAAGGUGGUACAGGAAUAAAUGAUCCAAAGAGUGAAAAGCUUAGAAUAACGGUUGAAAAUAAUUCAAGGGUUGGCAGUUCAAAAGAGUGUAUCCUUCAAUGAUCUAUGUAUGUUCCCCGAUGUCCACUUGCCACUUGGUUUCAGGACUCCUAAAUUUUAAAAGUAUAAUGGACAUAGAGACUUCAUAGCCACCUGAAAAGGUAUUACAAUCAACUGAGAGGUAUGGGAAGAAAUGAAGAAUUGUUGAUAGCUUAUUUUGGGUAAAGCCUUACGGGAGUAGCAUCUGAAUAGUUUUUGGAUCAAAACAUAUCUCGCUGGUAUGUCUAGGAUGACAUGGCACAGGCCUUUGUCAAUUAGUUCCAAUAAAUCAUUGACAUUGCCCCAGACCGCAAUUCCCUUUCAAACCUGAAGAAGAAACCAAGUGAAAUUUUCAGGGAACAUGCCAUUAAAUAAAGAGAAUAAGCAUCUUGAGUUAAGCCACCCAUGGAUGAUCACGAGCUAAUCACCGUCUUUCUUCAGGCUCAGGAGCCGGAUGGUUUUCAAAACAUGAUAUUUGCUGUGGGUAAAUCCUUCUCAGAAGUAAUCAAAAUGGGGGAUGUAGUUGAGAAUGGUCUUAAGAUUGGAUAAAUUAUAAGUCAAGCAACUCAUAUUGUCCAUAUUGAAUCAGAUAAUUUUGGUAAUUUUGAUGACCUGAAUGAGAAGGUUGAAGAAAUCAUGAUGACAUCAGGGUCGAGAAAAGGUCCCAGGAGAACAUCUUGAAGGUUUGAUCAGCCUCCUCAAGUUUUCCAUGACUCCCCUGAGCAAUAUUUUCCACCUCAGAGCCCUCAAUACUCUGUUGUUGCACCUUAGUAUGAUGCCCGACCACCAAGACACCCUAGAAGGCGAGCACGAGCACCGCAAAAUCCCCACCAGCCUCCACAAAAAUUUUCAGUGCCCUAUAAACUCCAUCCAGGCUCGGGGUAUAGAAGGGAACAAAGGUUGAAGGAUAACUUUACACCAAUAGGAGAGUCUUAUGCAAGCUUAUUUAAGAAGUUAAAGUGCUAUGACUUGAUUGCACCCAUUCCUCCAAAUCAUGUGGACCCGCGUACAAAAAGCUUUGACCCUUCUAAUAGGUGUGAAUACCAUUCUAAUGCCCAGGGGCACAAUAUUGAAAGUUGUCAGGAUUUGAAAAAAGAAAUAGAAAGGAUGAUCUAGGAAAACCUGAUUAUGAUCCAAGACAGUGACACCCGGAGUAUCGCGCAGAGUACUUUACCUGCACAUGAUGAUGCACAUUUGGUAGGGGUGAUGCGUAGUGACAUGUAGUAUGAGAAUCCUCUUUGGAAUUUGCCGACUAAAAUGGGAGAAGGCCAUGGUGAUUUUGAUGAGCAAAUUUGUGGCUAAAUGUCGAGGUUAAAAAAUUGAAAAGUCACUCUCCUUACUAUGAAGGAAUCUUGGUAGCUUGUUUCGAUGUUUUUUCUGCUAUCUUGGUUAUUUCAAGGUUGUGAUCUAGAUUUUAUUGUUUUAUUGAGUCAAACCCUUCUAUCAUUCUAUUCUAUUUGUAGGAGUCAUGUCUGUCUGUUUUAUUGCUAUUUUCAUUAUCCGAGUUAAUUUACGUUUGUAAGUCGGAUUUUAGGUUGCUUGUUUAGUUGUCAAACCCUUUCAUCUUUAUUCAAUAAAAUAUAGUUUGUCUGCUCGUGUCAUUCUAUUCCUAGUUCUUUUGUCGCUAAUUCUAAUGACAUGACAUGCAUGCUGAAAUUUUGGCCAGAUCUUAGAAGCUGAUUUAAUUUGGAAUUGGAUAACUGAAAAAAAUAUUAAGAAAUACUUUUGAGGAUGAAUAAAGAGUUGAAAUACUUUGGAAUUAAGAUCAAGUAAAAUUCACGUUCAAAUUAUUGUGAAGAUCGGACUUGAGGAUGGUUAACCAAUUAAAGUUUGUUGGAAAGUAAGGGAUGGAAAGUGUCUUGUGGCCAUGACACACCAAGAAGACAGACACGUUUUUCCAUAUUGUGAUCGCGAAGAGAUACUAUGUUUGGCUAUCUCAAGGUUGGGAGGACCUUUUUCUGCUACCCAAACACUUUAUAUCCUUCACUACCCCUUUUGAGCAUGUAUUAUUUUCUUUGACCACCCUCUUUUGAAAUCAAGUUUGGAGUCAUGAGUCAAAAACAAAAGAAAAACAUGAAAAAAACGGAAAAAUGAAAAAGAAAUACAAAAGAGUCCAUGUCCCAAGAGUACAAACUGGGGCAAUUCGUAGAAAGUUAAAGUAAAAACAAAAGAGAAAAAAACUGUUAAAGGUCCAUGACCUAAAAAAUAAAAGCUGGGGCAACUUGAAAAAAAGAAAAAAAAAAGAGGAAAAAAAGGUACUGAAAGAAAGAUGAAAAAUUAUUUAGGUUAGAUAUUUGAAUAAACGUUAGAACUUAUUCCUUAAAAAAGGAUAUGUAGCCAGCCUCACAGUUCGGUCCAACCAAAUAAGAAUUCAAAAAAAAUAAAACAAAGAAUAAUCCAAAAAAAAUCCCCAAUAACUGAAACUGGGGAACAAAUUUUAUUUCACUUUUGAAAGAGUCGAUUCCAAGAGUUGUAAGUCCACAACCCUUCAUUUUAAGUCUACUUUGAGCCUUCAUGCCGACCCUUCUACUCAACCAUGUCCAAAAACCUUCCAAAUAAUAACCUCCUGAUAUGCCUUCAAGAAUGCCAAGAGAAGCAUGCAAUGAGCAACGGUUGAUACGCGACAUAGAAAAAUGUCAAGUUGCUCGCACAAGAAAGCAAAAGAAAAAAGGAAAAUGAAGAAGAAAAUGAUAGAGUCUUACUAGUGAAAACCCUCAUAGGCACUGUAAAGCGACGGUAAGUAGAGAUAAAUAAAUGAGAGAGGCUGGUUGGUGAAAACUCCUCGGUGCACCACUAGUCGAAAGUGAGUCAUGAACCUGAUGCAAAGAAUUGGCACGAACAAGCCCGACUUUAAUGUUCCUAAACAUGGUAAAAGGGAAGAAUGGAUUAGUUUGAUAGAUCAGACACUUAAAUCACAAAUGCAUGUCAUGACCAUUACGGCUAGUUAUUGAAAAAAAAAGAAAAAAAAAGCUCUUCCUUCUGUCCUUCCGACAUGGGGAAUUUCUUGUUAAUGUUCGUUUCUUUGUGUCAUUGUGGCCUUCACUUUGAGUCCAUCCUUGUAAAAACAAGCAAGAAAAUAUUUCAAAAUCUGAACCAGUUUUUCAGUUGCACAAAGUAAAUUUGGCCAGAGCACUCAGCUGUUAUUGUCGGCAUGCCUUGAUGAUUCAUGGAAGUGCUCCCCCAAAAGACUCUUGUCAGCCUACUUAGCGCAAGAAAGAUAACCGGUGAUUCUCUAUGACAGACAAAUCGGUCAAAAAGCAGGAAGUCAUUCAAGAUACUGAAAAGGCUACUUGAGCAGAGAUCUCCAGUUGGGACAAGGCUCAUUGAGCCACAAAUACAAAUGGUAGAAGGUGUAAUACAAUCAAAGUGGGUGCGGAACAAAAUUCUCUUGAGACUGAUUCAAGCUGAUCAAGAAAAAUCCAAGCUACUCAUGACUCAAAGCCACAAAUCGACCAAUAUUUUAAAAAUUGACAAAUUAUUCUUUGUGCGAAAUAGGAACAAUGCAUUGCAAGGAAAGUGGUUCAAAAAAGGGGAAAAAGAGGGGAAAAAGGGAGAAAAAGAGAAGAAAAAGAAAAGAAGAGAAGAGCCGACAAAGGGAAGUUUCUCGAAUCUUUACCUUUAUUCUAUUUUUUCCAUUUUAUAUUUUUCCUCCUAGGAUAGAAUUCCUAGUCCGAUGGAUCUUUCUCCCAUUCAAAAUCUUAGUCCGAUGAAUUUUUCUCCUAAGAUAGAAGACAUAGUCUAAUAAGUUUUCUCCUCGGAUCGAAAUCUUAGUCUGAUGAAUUUUUCUCCUAAGAUAGAAAACCUAAUCUAAUGAAUUUUCUCCUAGAAUAAAUGUCUUAGUCAGAUGAAUAUUUAUCUUAAGAUACCAAAAAGAGAGACCUAGCUUGAUGAAUUUUCUCGUAGGAUCAAAAUCUUAGUCUGAUUAAUCUUUCUCCUAAGAUAGAAAAUCCAGUAUGAUGAAUUUUCUCCUAGGAUAAACGACUUAGUCGGAUGAAUCUUUCUCCUAAGAUAUCAAAAAAGGGACCUAGUCUCAUUAAUUUUCCCCUAGGAUAAAUGUCUUAGUCUGAUGAAUCUUUCUCCUAAUAUAGAAAACCUAGUCUGACGAAUUUUCUCCUGGGAUAAUAAUUUAAAAAAUGGGGAAUUAGUUUAAAAAAGGGGAAGUCGGGAUUUGAAAAAAAGUGUCAAUUUUUAGCUUUCUAAAAAUCAGAGGGCCCCGCCUGGAGAAUAGGGUCAGUUUUUACUAUAGUCAAGCUAAGUUUAAACUUUUCCGCAAGCUCAAUCAGUUUUAGGAGACGAACAUCCUAGUCGAUUCAUUAGUUUUACUCUCAUCAUCGCAUCCUUCAUCAGCAGCGCAGGUGAUUUAUACUUUUUUUAACACUCACAGACGUUCCCAAUAUCAAACUGGGACAGGAAAAUUUCUUUUGUUUUUUCUAUUUUGUCGUAAUUAGGCGCUCACUUGGAAAAGAAGGGAAGACAACUCAAGUUUCAUUGGAAGGCAAUUUCGAAGGAAAACAACUCAAGUUUUAUGGGAAAGCGGGUCAAGUUCAGCAAUCAGACCUUCACCUGGAGAACAAGAGAAGGGGAAGAAAUUUUGAAGGAAGACAACUCAAGUUUCAAGAGAAAGUAGUUUUGAAGGAAGACAAGUAAAGUUUAAAGGGGAAAUGGUUCAAGGUACAAGAGAAAACAUCGUCAAAUAACAAGAGAAGACGGUUCAACAUCAGCAAUCAGGCGCCCACCUGAAAAAAUGGGGAAUUAAAUUCAAAAUGCAAUUCAGGUCAACAACGAAAGAAGCUCGCAUGAAGAAUGCAAGUCAGCGGUUCGAGAUGACCUCAAAAAUGAAUCUCAAUCCAAAAUAAAGAAAAGAAGAAAAAGAAUAAAAAGAAGUGAACUCCGAAUGCUGAAGUGGAGAAGUAUGGGGACUGCUGAAAACUUGAUUGAAGUCAGAAGCUUCGCAUGUCCCGCCUUGUUCUACAGGCUGAAGAAUAAACCAGCGGCUGCAGCUAUCGAGCAUCAAGAUUCAGAUCAGAGUCUAGAGCAAGAACCAGCUAAGACUCAAGAUCAAGCUUCAAGAAAUUUGUAGAUAAGAAUUUUGUAACUCGUAGUUGAUAGGCUUAGAUAUCUUAGCUUUUUAUUUUCUAUUUUGGUGUAAUAAGGAGCUCAGCAAGCACUCUCGGUAUUCCCAGCUUCCAAACAUUCCAGAACUACACUAACCUGAUUCCUUUAUAGCCAAGGAUAUAUAUAUGAAACCUUUGAAGCGAGACUCGGUCAGACUCUUUCAAAAAAUGCUUCUCAUGGAGUUUCAAACGAGCAAAAAUCCCUCAUGUUGCUUAUUUUAUCUUUGCCCAAAAAUUCUUAAUGUUUCUGAGCAAAGAGGGACAGCUGUGAGCACGUGAUUUUUGCCUUAUAUGAAUUACUCCUACAGAAUCCCAAGAAAAUAGAUUUUCUUAAUUUUUGCCAUUUUUAGGAGUUUUUGUAAAAUUUUGUUUAGUGGUUUGCAUUUUUGUGCAUGUUUAAGUUUUAUUUAAAUCAUGGAAAAAUACCAAAAUAUCAUGCAUUACAUUUAGGAUUUGUUUUUAUAUUUUUAGAAUUAACCAGUAAUUAUUUAUUUUAUAGAAAUUCAAAAAUAACAAAAAUAAACUCAUUUUACAUUUUUGUCUUUUAUUUUUGGUUUAUUGAUUUUCCACUUUAUAUAUAUAGAUUUAAGUGAGUUUUACAGUUUUUAUAAUUAUUUAAUUACUUUAAUUUCAGAUGUUUAGAUAUUUUAGGAUUUUUAAUUAAAAAGAAAGAAAAGAAAGGAAUUGAAAAUAAAAGAAGAGGAAUAUGAGAGUAUUAAUUUUCUGAAAUUGGACCCAUUUUUAAUCUCCCAAAUUAGCCCAAAUAAUGCCCUAUUUGGUCCAGCCCAAGAACCAGACCCGCCUAGCUCAAUAACCCACCCCCUUUCAAUUAAACCUAGACGUAACACUAUCAGAUAGAUAGGACAAUAGAGGAUCUGCCACAUCUGCUUUUGAUUUUCCCAAGCACCAGAUCCCUUUCAUUCAUCUCCUCCAUGGACAAGAUAACAAACACCAUUUGUACUCCCAUCUUCUUUAAGAUCCUAAAGGCCUAACACCCCUGGAGAUUCGGUUGGUUUUGAACCUAAAAGAUUCAACCGCAAGAUCCCUUGAAGACUUUCUUCUCCACCCUAGCUCUCCAAUGAAACACCAAUGGUAGUGAUUCCCCACUCCCUCCUCUCAAAAACCCCUCAAUUCCUCCGUAUCCACGUCCUCAACACCAACUGAAACCGCUCGAGCUCGUUGCUAAUGAUUUUCCAUUUAUCUCUCAGAUCCAAAUGUUGUCCGAUUUCUUAUUUAUCGCUGUUGGUUUUUUGCUGCUUUUUUUGUUACUGGUUAUCACUGUCUCGAACAGGAAAUUAGUUCUGCUACUUCGCUACUGGAAACUGUUGUUGAAUUCUGUCCCUAGGCCAUCAGACCAUUAUUUGGUCUUUUCCUUACAAUUUUCUCAGCAAUGUAGGUACGAUCUGAAUCUAUAUGUAAUUUAUCGUGAUUUUUCAUGAAUGAAACCAUGUUAGUUAAUGUCACAUAUUGGGUGAUUUUGAUGACUAAUGUUUGUUUUCAGCAGUAGUGUUCGAGUAAUCUUUCUCCAGUUUAAACUUGUAUGAUGCUCUCAAUGGAAUGUGUGUGGAUAUAGCUCGCUAGUUGUUGGUACCUAAAAUAUGUUUUCCUGUUGAAUUCACAUGAUCCAUGUUAACUCCAACCAAAUAUUAUUGGGUCCAAUUUGUUAGAAAUUAAUGGCUGC